ACUGGACAUAUACAGCUUUCACAUUAACUCUACUGUGGCCAGUCGUUAUGCCACCACUGUCAUCACAAGCCGUGUGGCCAAUCGUAUGAAUGAGUCAAAGGAAAUUGAAUUCCAUGUCCAGAUUCCUAAGAAUGCCUUCAUCAGUAAAUUCAAAAUGCUUAUUGAUGGUGAAGUGUAUGAUGGUGUUGUUAAAGCUAAGGAG